rnacentral:ncRNA from 1 species
ACGCCGUGACUGCGUCGAUACUAGCAGGUUUGAGGGAACCUCGACACGGCGC